rnacentral:rRNA from 1 species
UUGAACGCUGGCGGCAGGCCUAACACAUGCAAGUCGAGCGGAUGAAGGGAGCUUGCUCCUGGAUUCAGCGGCGGACGGGUGAGUAAUGCCUAGGAAUCUGCCUGGUUGUGGGGGAUAACGUCCGGAAACGGGCGCUAAUACCGCAUACGUCCUGAGGGAGAAAGUGGGGGAUCUUCGGACCUCACGCUAUCAGAUGAGCCUAGGUCGGAUUAGCUAGUUGGUGGGGUAAAGGCUUACCAAGGCGACGAUCCGUAACUGGUCUGAGAGGAUGAUCAGUCACACUGGAACUGAGACACGGUCCAGACUCCUACGGGAGGCAGCAGUGGGGAAUAUUGGACAAUGGGCGAAAGCCUGAUCCAGCCAUGCCGCGUGUGUGAAGAAGGUCUUCGGAUUGUAAAGCACUUUAAGUUGGGAGGAAGGGCAGUAAGUUAAUACCUUGCUGUUUUGACGUUACCAACAGAAUAAGCACCGGCUAACUUCGUG